rnacentral:rRNA from 1 species
GACGAACGCUGGCAGCGUGCUUAACACAUGCAAGUCGAACGGAAAGGCCCUGCUUUUGUGGGGUGCUCGAGUGGCGAACGGGUGAGUAACACGUGAGUAACCUGCCCUUGACUUUGGGAUAACUUCAGGAAACUGGGGCUAAUACCGGAUAGGAGCUCCUGCUGCAUGGUGGGGGUUGGAAAGUUUCGGCGGUUGGGGAUGGACUCGCGGCUUAUCAGCUUGUUGGUGGGGUAGUGGCUUACCAAGGCUUUGACGGGUAGCCGGCCUGAGAGGGUGACCGGCCACAUUGGGACUGAGAUACGGCCCGGACUCCUACGGGAGGCAGCAGUGGGGAAUAUUGCACAAUGGGCGGAAGCCUGAUGCAGCAACGCCGCGUGCGGGAUGACGGCCUUCGGGUUGUAAACCGCUUUCGCCUGUGACGAAGCGUGAGUGACGGUAAUGGGUAAAGAAGCACCGGCUAACUACGUGCCAGCAGCCGCGGUGAUACGUAGGGUGCGAGCGUUGUCCGGAUUUAUUGGGCGUAAAGGGCUCGUAGGUGGUUGAUCGCGUCGGAAGUGUAAUCUUGGGGCUUAACCCUGAGCGUGCUUUCGAUACGGGUUGACUUGAGGAAGGUAGGGGAGAAUGGAAUUCCUGGUGGAGCGGUGGAAUGCGCAGAUAUCAGGAGGAACACCAGUGGCGAAGGCGGUUCUCUGGGCCUUUCCUGACGCUGAGGAGCGAAAGCGUGGGGAGCGAACAGGCUUAGAUACCCUGGUAGUCCACGCUGUAAACGGUGGGUACUAGGUGUGGGGUCCAUUCCACGGGUUCCGUGCCGUAGCUAACGCUUUAAGUACCCCGCCUGGGGAGUACGGCCGCAAGGCUAAAACUCAAAGGAAUUGACGGGGCCCCGCACAAGCGGCGGAGCAUGCGGAUUAAUUCGAUGCAACGCGUAGAACCUUACCUGGGUUUGACAUGGAUCGGGAGUGCUCAGAGAUGGGUGUGCCUCUUUUGGGGUCGGUUCACAGGUGGUGCAUGGCUGUCGUCAGCUCGUGUCGUGAGAUGUUGGGUUAAGUCCCGCAACGAGCGCAACCCUUGUUCACUGUUGCCAGCACGUUAUGGUGGGGACUCAGUGGAGACCGCCGGGGUCAACUCGGAGGAAGGUGGGGAUGACGUCAAGUCAUCAUGCCCCUUAUGUCCAGGGCUUCACGCAUGCUACAAUGGCUGGUACAGAGAGUGGCGAGCCUGUGAGGGUGAGCGAAUCUCGGAAAGCCGGUCUCAGUUCGGAUUGGGGUCUGCAACUCGACCUCAUGAAGUCGGAGUCGCUAGUAAUCGCAGAUCAGCAACGCUGCGGUGAAUACGUUCCCGGG